AUACUUACCUGGCAGGGGAGAAUCCAUGAUCACAAAGAUGGUUUUCCCAGGGCGAGGCUUAUCCAUUGCGCCCCAGGCGUACAGAUCCCUACAACUUCCCUACAUGUGGGAAACUCAACUGCAUAAUUUGUGAUAGUGGGGGACUGUGUUCAUGCUCUCCCCAU
ensembl:snRNA U1 U1 spliceosomal RNA